AGAUUGAACGCUGGCGGCAUGCCUUACACAUGCAAGUCGAACGGCAGCACGGGAGCAAUCCUGGUGGCGAGUGGCGAACGGGUGAGUAAUACAUCGGAACGUGCCCAAUCGUGGGGGAUAACGCAGCGAAAGCUGUGCUAAUAUCGCAUAAGAUCUACGGAUGAAAGCAGGGGAUCGCAAGACCUUGCGCGAAUGGAGCGGCCGAAUGGCAGAUUAGGUAGUUGGUGAGGUAAAGGCUCACCAAGCCUUCGAUCUGUAGCUGGUCUGAGAGGACGACCAGCCACACGUGGGACUGAGACACGGCCCAGACUCCGUAGGGAGGCGGCAGGUCGGGGAAUUUGGAACAAGUGGGACGAAAGCCUAGGAUCCGAGCCAGUCGACCG
rnacentral:rRNA from 1 species